CCUACGAGGGGCAGCAGUGAGGAAUAUUGGUCAAUGGACGAGAGUCUGAACCAGCCAAGUAGCGUGCAGGCUGACUGCCCUAUGGGUUGUAAACUUCUUUUAUAUGGGAAUAAAACGUUUCACGUGUGGGCUUUUGUAUGUACCAUAUGAAUAAGGAUCGGCUAACUCCGUGCCAGCAGCCGCGGUACUACGGAGGAUCCGAGCGUUAUCCGGAUUUAUUGGGUUUAAAGGGAGCGGAGGUCGCUGGUUACGUGUGUUGUGAAAGGUGGCGGCUCAACCGUAAAAUUGCAGUGGCAACUGGCGGUCUUGAGUACAGGAGAGGUAGGCGGAAUUCGUGGUGUAGCGGUGAAAUGCUUAGAUAUCACGAAGAACUCCGAUUGCGAAGGCAGCUCACGGGAGUGCAACUGACACUGAGGCUAGAAAGUGUGGGUAUCGAACAGGAUUAGAUACCCGUGUAGUC
rnacentral:rRNA from 1 species